rnacentral:lncRNA from 1 species
GAAAAUUACUAAGGUCUCUUACAUUCCAGAAGUCUGUGACUCCAGAACUUCUAGCACCAUGUUGACUAAGAGUGGUGAGAACAGACAUUCUUUCCUUGUUUCUGAUCUUGGGGGAAAAGCCUUAUCAUUCACCAGUGAAGAAACUGAGGCGGAAGAAAUUUAAGUAAGUGGACGAAGAUCACACAGUGAGUGGCAUAAGCAGGAUUCAAUUAUAGGAAGUCUGACUGAAAUUCCUGUCUUACCCACUAUGCUCGACAGCCCCUGGCUGAUUCUGAUGUCGAAGGACGGUCUUCAGUUUUGUUUAGUCUUUCAAAGCGUUAACAUGGCAUGAACUUAUCUUUCACUUUUAGAAAUACUCUCCCUCCAUUUCCC